ensembl:lncRNA
UCCCACCUGGUUAAAUAAAGGUGUUCUCAACUAGCCUACCUGGUUAAAUAAAGGUGUUCUCAACUAGCCUACCUGGUUAAAUAAAGGUGUUCUCAACUGGCCUACCUGGUUAAAUAAAGGUGUUCUCAACUAGCCUACCUGGUUAAAUAAAGGUGUUCUCAACUAGCCUACCUGGUUAAAUAAAGGUGUUCUCAACUGGCCUACCUGGUUAAAUAAAGGUGUUCUCAACUGGCCUACCUGGUUAAAUAAAGGUGUUCUCAACUAGCCUACCUGGUUAAAUAAAGGUGUUCUCAACUAGCCUACCUGGUUAAAUAAAGGUGAAAAAAAAA